UACGGAGGGGGCUAGCGUUGUUCGGAAUUACUGGGCGUAAAGGGCUCGUAGGCGGCCAACUAAGUCAUACGUGAAAUCCCUCAGCUUAACUGGGGAACUGCGUGUGAUACUGGAUGGCUUGGAUUUGGGAGAGGGAUGCGGAAUUCCAGGUGUAGCGGUGAAAUGCGUAGAUAUCUGGAGGAACACCGGUGGCGAAGGCGGCAUCCUGGACCAAUAUUGACGCUGAGGAGCGAAAGCCAGGGGAGCAAAGCGGG
rnacentral:rRNA from 1 species